rnacentral:lncRNA from 1 species
GGGUGGUUCAAAUUCAGAAGAAAGAAAAAGACUUCAUUAUGGACUUGUGGAAUUUGACAGGUUUGUGAGAUGUGCUAGUGCAGGUGGUUUAGACACUCACUGGAUAGAUCUAAAGAUGUGGGAGUCGCCAGCACAUAGCUGAGUGCAGUGUGAUGCAUGGACGUAGAUGGAAGUGCACAGGGAGAAUAUGUAGGGUGGGGACAAGCAUCUUGGGCAGAAGCCAUUGAAAUACAAACAGCCAAGAGGCCGGUAGACUUCUCUUUAGAAGCCUGAAAUGGAGACUGAGAUAGAUUAACCAUAGAAGCCUGAAAUCUAGGAAAGAAUGACGCCACAAAGCCCAAGGUAGAGAUUGUUGUGAAGGGAACAUGGUCACCAGUAUUAAAAUGCCACAAAAAAAGCACUGAAAAAAAGUAAUUGUUGACCUUGCUGAGGAGCAUUUCAAUGGAGUAGCUGUGGGAGAAAGCUCAUUACAUUCCCAGAAAAUUGGAGCAAGUGUGGAGGACGGGGGCAGUUAGAUUCAUCAUGAAAAAAGAUUUUGUUUUUUGGAUCCCUUUGCAAACAACAGAACAAGGACAUGGAGAACGCUGGCAAGCAUGAUGGACAAGAAAGAAAGAAGUGAAGAUGAAAGGGAAUGAAUAGGUAGGAGGAAUGAAGAAAAUCUGAGAUAAAGAUUCCAGUUCACUGCCCUGGACCCGUAGUUGAGAACAACAAAUUUUCUAGUUUGGGUGAUUGGUACUAUAAUUAUUUUUAAAUUAUAUGUAAGUGACCAGUUUCCUUGGGAUGGUCUUUGUUUAUGCCUUUUUUGUUAUCAUGAUUAGUAAGCCAUCCCCUUUGACUCUUAAAAGUGUUCUGGUUUGACUAACACAUUUUAUUGUCUUGAUAUAUAUAAAGAGAGAUGACACGAACUAGGCUUGGUCAAAGGAAAAUAAUGAGCUCAAUUCUGGAAAUGUUAAGUUCAUGAAGCUAUGGGAAAUUCAGAUUGAAAGGUCAAGUAAACUGAACACACAUACAGACACAACUAAAUUUAUCCAUAAAACAAAUUCAGACAGUACUGAAUAAAUUAUAAUUUAGUGAUUGACUCAAGAAUGAUAUACUAAUUUGCAGACAGACUCAGAAAAUAUUUGCAUUACAUACUUGAAGUUACUUUCUCUGUAUUAAAUUAUACAGCAAUUUAGGUAAAGUGAAAAUAUUAAUCAUGUAAGGAUGAGGAAUCAUGUUAACAUUGACCAAAUGGUCAAGCUGGACUUUUACAUUGGGUAAUACCUCAAAGUGUCACAAGGUGGCAGCACAAGCACAAUAUAACAUGUAAUUAACAAGGGUCAAGAUCCUUUCAGGUAUUCUGCAGUUAGAAUUUAUACCUGUUGUAUAUUAUAUAUAUUUUUUUCUGAAUGUAUGGUCCUUAAUUUAAAAAUGAUUAUUUUGUUUUAUCGUUAUUGCUGACUUGAAAAUGGAGCACAUAAAAAGUUUAAUUUUCUAAUAUGUACAUUAUUUUAAAAUAUUUUAGCUAGAAUAAAAAACAUGAUCAUGAAUAUACAUUGAUGGCAUUCUCAGGAUAAUUAUUAGCACAUAGUGUAUAUAAUGUCAUAGUUAUAAAUGCUCUGUAAGUUUGCAUCUUGAUCAGUAUAUUUUAGAUCAAAAAUUUUAUUUAGAUCAUCUUUUUAAUAUAUUUAUCUCGCUAGUAAAAUCUGUGACUUUUUUCAUUGGCCUGUAGAAGGAGAGUGUUCAGAAAUUUCAUGAAAAAAUUUUGUUGGCAUAUUCUAGUUACAGUAACUUUAAGUAGGGGAUAGGGUUGUCAGGUUUAGUUAAAAAAAUACAGAAUAUCCAGUUAAAAUUGAACUUUAGAAAAACAAGAAUUUUUUUUGGUAUAAAUAUGUCCCAUGAAAUAUUGGGGUAAUACUUAAAGUUAUUGAAUGAUUGAAUUUUUUUUUUGUAUUUUAUCAAGCAGUCCUAUAAGGGGAGGGAGGAGAACCUGGACAAAAAAAAAAAAAGGAAGUUGCUGAGAAGUCCAGAGAAAUCCAGGAUUAUGGACUACAAAUCUGACCUAAGAUUUAGAAGCCUUCAGAAUCAAGGAAUUAGAAAACGAAUUAUAAAUAGACUUGAAUUAGUCUGCAUUCUGUGGCAAACUCAUUUAUAUGUUUUCCAGAAGCUAUGAUCAGCAUCAACACUGAAAUGUCUCUGAAACCAAUUUUACUGUACUUACAUACCUGAGAA